rnacentral:rRNA from 1 species
AGAGUUUGAUCCUGGCUCAGAUUGAACGCUGGCGGCAGGCCUAACACAUGCAAGUCGAGCGGCAGCGGGAAAGUAGCUUGCUACUUUUGCCGGCGAGCGGCGGACGGGUGAGUAAUGCCUGGGAAAUUGCCCAGUCGAGGGGGAUAACAGUUGGAAACGACUGCUAAUACCGCAUACGCCCUACGGGGGAAAGCAGGGGACCUUCGGGCCUUGCGCGAUUGGAUAUGCCCAGGUGGGAUUAGCUUGUUGGUGAGGUAAUGGCUCACCAAGGCGACGAUCCCUAGCUGGUCUGAGAGGAUGAUCAGCCACACUGGAACUGAGACACGGUCCAGACUCCUACGGGAGGCAGCAGUGGGGAAUAUUGCACAAUGGGGGAAACCCUGAUGCAGCCAUGCCGCGUGUGUGAAGAAGGCCUUCGGGUUGUAAAGCACUUUCAGCGAGGAGGAAAGGUUGGUAGCUAAUAACUGCCAACUGUGACGUUACUCGCAGAAGAAGCACCGGCUAACUCCGUGCCAGCAGCCGCGGUAAUUACGGAGGGGUGCAGCGUUAAUCGGAAUUACUGGGCGUAAAGCGCACGC